AUUCCAGGUAUGUUGUACCUGUUCUUCUCAUGAUUGGCUGGAUUGCAGGUUGUGCAUUAAUGGUUUAUUAUGUCUUCUCUUAAAAAAAGGAAAGAAGACUUUGCAAACCAACCUGAAGGCUAAUGAAGACUGUCUGUUUCUUCGUUUAAGAAAAUACUAUUUUGAUACCAAUGAAAACAUAAUACAAUUUAUACAUUUUGUCUUCCAGAUCUUUAAUAGAAAACAAAUAAAUCAGUUUUGUACAUAUAUGUAACUUUCAAUGAAAAUUGCAUUAGACAUUUGGUAAUACAACUAUACUGGUCCAUAUCCUGGUACUAUUUUAUAUUGCGAUAUUGAUAGAAAGAAGCAUUGUUAUUUGUCCUAUGCUGAGAGGCAAUGUAGAAAUUCAUAUAUUUUGUUGCUUGCAGUUAGAAAACAGUUAAUUAAAUUGCUUCAUAGCUGUC